GUCAACUACAUCAAACCACAUCAACUGCGCGCACGCAUGUUCGCAAAACUAGGUGGAGAUAUGGGAUCAGAGCAUGACAAUGUUCUUUUUGUUAUCGAGGGUUUCUAACGGAAAACAACAUGAUAACUGUCCCACACGACUGAUGACUGCUCAACUCCAACGCUUGGAAGAGCACUUUGGGACCUACUUCCCAAUCCAUUUGACUGUGAUCCUGGCUCAGUUGACAUGUGGGAAGAUCGUAGAUCGCAUCGACACAGACAAGGAUGGUUUCGUGAGCCAUGGGGAACUGCACCAGUGGAUCAAACACAGGCAGAGGAGUCACAUUGAGGAGAAUGUGCUGAAGCACCGGAAGGAGUACGACCAGAACAAGGAUGGGAAGAUCGGCUGGGAGGAAUACAAAAACACCCCCUACAGCUACUACCUGGUUACGACAAGGGAGGGUAGCCUGACUUUGAGACAAAUGAGCGAGGGGGUUGUGAUUUUAAAAAGAUGACAAGGCGAGCUACAAGGCCAUGCUGACUAGAGACGAGAGGCUCUUUAGGACAGCUGACCGCGACGGGGACGGCAUCGCCACCAAGGUCUAGUUCACCGACCUUCCUUCACCCUGAGGAGUACGACCACAUGAAGACCGUUGUCAUACAGGAAACAGUAGAAGACAUUGACAAGAACGGUGAUAGAAAGAUCACCCUUGACGAAUACAUUGGCUCGUCUCUCCUUCAACCGACUACCGUCUUCCAAACAGAUAACAUGCAAUAUGUCAUCAACCAAACAUAAUAUCUGGUUCUUUAUACAUUUUAUGAGAUUUUAUGACAUUUAUGACAUUUUAUGAGAACAAAAAAUAUUUCAUUUAUUUUAUUACAAAUGUAUGAGUGAUAUUCUUGGGUCCACAACCAACUGUAUAUGUCAAAUGAAAAGUGUUGUGAAAAGACAUGUUCACACCUGAGAAUGGAGAGAGUGAACCAACCAGACUGGGUGCUGAUGCAGAAAAAACACUUCACAGAGUUUAGAGACAAUCGUCUUCUGCUACUGGAUCACCUUAACAACAUCCUCUCUCCUUAUACAUUACAAUAACAUCAUUAUAACAUCACUUUUUAAGUCAGUACACUUAAGGUACCCUACCCCUCAGACCAGCUAUGUCAAUACACACACACACACACACACACACACACACACACACACACACACACACACACACACACACACACACACACACACACACACACACACACACACACACACACACACACACACACACACACACACACACACACACACACACACACGCACCUCUUUCUGUGGACAUACUAAGUUAACAGGUUUGUGUCUGUGUUGUCAGCAUGGUUUGUAACAGCUCUCUAUGUGUGUGUUGUGUUGUCAGGAUGGUUUCCUGGAUAACCAUGAGGUAGCUCAGUGGAUCCUGCCAGGAGAGAUUGACCAUACUGACAAUGAGGCUAAGCACCUCAUCCACGAGACAGACACAGACAAGUCCCACACCCCUGUCUUACCUGGUUGGCAAAGUGUGCUGCAGAUGGGACACACGUAGCAGAAGUUGCACAUCUGAAGAAGGAAGGAGAAAAAGGAUGGUGAGACCUAACUCACAGUAUUCACAGUAUGAACAGAGGGAUCCUUUGUGAAACAGUUGAUUGUCCUCUUCCUCAUCGUCAUCAUCGUCAUUGUCGUCAUCAUCAUCGUUGUCAUCAGCUGCAGCCGGUUCAUCAUCAUCAUCGUCAUCAUUACCGUCAGCCUCUGUAAAAUAAGUUGUUCAUUCCCAUCCUAACACGUACAGUGGGGAGAACAAGUAUUUGAUACACUGCCGAUUUUGCAGGUUUUCCUACUUACAAAGCAUGUAGACGUCUGUCAUUUUUUAU